rnacentral:lncRNA from 1 species
GCUUGUUUUGACAUUUUGUAAACAUGACUUCAGCAAUUUGUUGUUUUGUUCUAUGAAUUAAUGGUACUCUAUACUGUUAUUCUUGUCACCGUGAUGAAGUUAUAAUAAUACAAGAAGUGCAGAGGAAAUGACUGAAAUGUCCUCUGAUACGGAACGUCUGGAAUAAGUAUGGUAUCGACGAAGACCCAAAUAUAAUGUACAAAAAAAACCAUGAACAUGAACAAGGCA